CCUACGGGAGGCAGCAGUGGGGGAUAUUGCACAAUGGGGGAAACCCUGAUGCAGCGACGCCGCGUGUAGGAAGACGGUCCUCUGGAUUGUAACCUACUGUCCCCAGGGACGAAGAUGACGGUACCUGGGGAGGAAGCUCCGGCUAACUACGUGCCAGCAGCCGCGGUAAUACGUAGGGAGCGAGCGUUGUCCGGAAUUACUGGGUGUAAAGGGAGCGUAGGCGGGGAUGCAAGUUGGGUGUUAAAUCUACCGGCUCAACUGGUAGUCGCACUCAAAACUGCAGCUCUUGAGUACUGGAGAGGCAGACGGAAUUCCUAGUGUAGCGGUGAAAUGCGUAGAUAUUAGGAGGAACACCAGUGGCGAAGGCGGUCUGCUGGACAGCAACUGACGCUGAGGCGCGAAAGCGUGGGGAGCAAACAGGAUUAGAUACCCGUGUAGUC
rnacentral:rRNA from 1 species